rnacentral:tRNA from 1 species
GGGGGUAUAGAUCAGUGGAAGAGUGUGUGCUUAUAGCAUGUGCAAGGUCAUGGGUUCAAUCCCCAGUACCUCCA